AACAUCGCGCACCUGCGGGAACCUGCGGAAGGAUCAUUAAAGAGUUGCAAAACUCCCUAAACCAUUGUGAACCUUACCUAUAUCGUUUCUUCGGCAGGCGGCGCAAGCCCUAACCGACUUCUCUAUCUUGGGGAGAAGACCUGCCGGAGGCUCUAAAACUCUUAACGUUAGUUGGUAUUCUCUGAGUAAGCUUUUAAAUAAGUUAAAACUUUCAACAAUGGAUCUCAGAUCGGAAGAGCA
rnacentral:misc_RNA from 1 species